AAAGGGAUAGCUGGGUCAAAUGGUGGUUCCAUUCCCAGAUUUCCAAGGAAUCUUCAUAUUACUUUCCAUAUUGGAUACAACAAUUUGUAGUCCCACCAGCAAU
rnacentral:pre_miRNA from 1 species